UACGAAGGGUGCUAGCGUUGUUCGGAAUUACUGGGCGUAAAGCGCGCGUAGGCGGUAAUGCAAGUCAGGGGUGAAAUCCCGGAGCUCAACUCCGGAACUGCCUUUGAAACUGCAUUGCUGGAGUGUGUGAGGGGAUAGCGGAAUUCCUAAUGUAGAGGUGAAAUUCGUAGAUAUUAGGAGGAACACCGGUGGCGAAGGCGGCUAUCUGGCACACAACUGACGCUGAGGCGCGAAAGCGUGGGGAUCAAACAGG
rnacentral:rRNA from 1 species